rnacentral:rRNA from 1 species
CUGAGAGUUUGAUUCUGGCUCAGAACGAACGCUGGCGGAAGGCUUAACACAUGCAAGUCGAGCGGUAACAGAGAGUAGCUUGCUACUUUGCUGACGAGCGGCGGACGGGUGAGUAAUGCAUAGGAAACUGCCCAGUAGUGGGGGAUAGCCCGGGGAAACUCGGAUUAAUACCGCAUACGCCCUACGGGGGAAAGGCCGGGAUCUUCGGACCGGUCGCUAUUGGAUGAGCCUGCGUAAGAUUAGCUAGUUGGUGGGGUAAAGGCCUACCAAGGCAACGAUCUAUAGCUGGUCUGAGAGGAUGAUCAGUCACACUGGAACUGAGACACGGUCCAGACACCUACGGGUGGCAGCAGUCGAGAAUCAUUCACAAUGGGGGAAACCCUGAUGGUGCGACGCCGCGUGGGGGAUGAAUGGCUUCGGUCAGUAAACCCCUGUCAUUAGUGAACAAACCUUUUAGAGUAAUAUUUUAAAAGCUGAUAGUAGCUAAAGAGGAAGGGACGGCUAACUCUGUGCCAGCAGCCGCGGUAAUACAGAGGUCCCAAGCGUUGUUCGGAUUCACUGGGCGUAAAGAGUGCGUAGGUGGCUAGGUAAGUUUGAUGUGAAAGCUCCGAGCUCAACUCGGAAAUUGCAUUGAAAACUGCUUGGCUAGAGGGUCGGAAGGGAGACUGGAAUUUUCGGUGUAGCAGUGAAAUGCGUAGAUAUCGAGAGGAACACCAGUGGCGAAGGCGAGUCUCUGGACGAAUCCUGACACUGAGGCACGAAAGCUAGGGUAGCAAACAGGAUUAGAUACCCUGGUAGUCCUAGCCGU